ensembl:rRNA 5S_rRNA 5S ribosomal RNA
GUCUAUGGCCAUGCUACCCUGAACAAGCCCAAUCUCGUCUGAUCUCAGAAGCUAAGCAGGGUUGGGCCUGGUUAUACUUGGAUGGGAGACCACCUAGAGAGACCACCUAGGAAGACCAGGUCCUGGAGGCC